AUACGGAGGGGGCUAGCGUUGUUCGGAAUCACUGGGCGUAAAGCGUGCGUAGGCGGCUACUCAAGUCAGGGGUGAAAGCCUGGGGCUCAACCUCAGAAUUGCCUUUGAAACUAGGUAGCUUGAACACGGGAGAGGUAAGUGGAAUUCCGAGUGUAGAGGUGAAAUUCGUAGAUAUUCGGAAGAACACCAGUGGCGAAGGCGGCUUACUGGACCGUUGUUGACGCUGAGGCACGAAAGCGUGGGGAGCAAACAGGAUUAGAUACCCUGGUAGUCCACGCCGUAAACGAUGAAAACUAGCUGCCGGGGCACUUGGUGCUUCGGUGGCGUAGCUAACGCGAUAAGUUUUCCGCCUGGGGAGUACGGCCGCAAGGUUAAA
rnacentral:rRNA from 1 species